UGCCCCAAGCUUUUGGCCAAAGGGUGAAAUGAACAAUUACUCAGAACAUUGCCUAACACAAUGUCUGUAUCAUUUACAGUUACUUCUGAGGAACAGCUACAACUGGAAACAAGGUCAGCUUCAUGUUGUUGUUGUUGUUGUUAUAGCCCAGUAAGCUUCCAGACCACCUUGGGUUUAUUCUCUCUUUUUGACAGUUAAAGCACCACAUUUUCAUUGAUGCCAGGAGAUGUUGAACAGUAGGGCACACAUCCUGGGGUGCCUCUGUUAUGGCACAAGAGAUAUUCCCAGACUGAUUGGGCAAGGUUCGGACCACAAUGUGUGUCUGGACAUUUAAAUUUGCAUUCUGAUUGGGCAAGACAUCUAGGGUUUUUAAAUUCUGUCUUGAUCGAAUUGGGCAAGAUCUCUAGGAUUUUUAAAUUGUAUAUGGAAUUGGGCAAGAUCAAGGCCUGUGUGGGCCUCGAUUUCUAAAUUGCAUCCCCCAGCUUGACCUUUACAAUUGUAUUCUGAUUGGGCAAGACCUCUAGGGUUUUUAAAUUCUGUAUGGAAUUGGGCAAGAUCAGGGCCUGUGUGGGCCUCGAUUUUUAAAUUGCAUCCCCCAGCUUGACUGAGCACACAAUCUCUAGGUUCCCUUAGAGUGAAUUGGGCAUGAUACCAUUUUUUUAAAAUUCCAUGUUUGGGCAGCUUUAAGCCAGUGGACUGGAGUCCCAUGAGCUUGGAAUCUCCAAUGGCUCAACUGGGCAAGACAAUUGGUGUCUUUAAAUUCUGUCAGGGCCUUGUGGACAUAUUUUUCAGCCAAGGGUGUAGUGUUAAAUUUGGAUCAACUGACCUCCCACUUUUAUUCAUGCUCAUGAUAAAGUCUGAAUCAAAUGGAUCACGUUGCGUGUUUUAUAUGCGCUGUGUCCCAAGGCUUGAGUGACCCAUGAAGAGAUGAGUUCUUCUUUAGUGCGCUCAUGGCCAUCUCGGAUCCUUAUUCCUUACUCAAGGAAAGCAUUGAUUUUGAAUGCUGGGCUCAAGGUUUUGAUGCUUUUCUGUCUAUUGAUAAAAUGGAAGGAAUCAUUUCACAUGCAAAUGUUUAAAUUGGUUGUGUCAUGCAAGGGUUUUGAGGACUGUCUGGACUAAAGAAAUAGUUUGAUUGCCUUGUCAGCAAGAGAGGUGCCUGCAGCCUAGGCGGCAACCAUGCUAUCUUGCACAGAGACAAAAAGCCUUUUGGAAGGUUGUGUCUUUGUUGAAGAUGAUGUUUAGCAUUUUAGCAUUCAAGACUCUUCAGACACGGAUUGUGAGAACGCCUGGCCUGAGAAAUUGACACCCGAGUGAAUGGAGGCGAAUGUACCUGCUUAAGUUGAGGAAGGCAGAUCACCAAAGGCGGCAGGAGUCCAGUGGUGAGGAUGAGUAACCUGGAAAUUGUACUGUCAGAGUGAAUGCAGAAGAAAAGUGACGUAACAUCAGAGAAUCGCUUUGGAAGUGAUGUGAAACUGUGGUAAUCUUCUGCCUUCUUUUUCAAAUGGUAAGUGAAAUAAAGGCAAAAAGUAAGAAAUAUCUUACAUAAAAGAUGCAUGGGUGAGCAGGCAUUUGGGCAAAUGGAACCAUCCCCCCACCAGCCCCCCAGCCCCAAUCAGUGACAAAAUGUGGAGCCCCACCACCACAUGGAGCUCUAAAAUGGGUCGGGAAAUCCCGGAUGGUGUUCGGGAACUCUGACCCAAUGUAGGCUUCCCAACAUCGGGACUGGCUGAUCCCCGACAUCCUCCAACAUGGCCCAUCUCAGGCCAUGACCAACACAACUGAUGCAGACUUGAACAGCUGUAUAUUAAGCACCUUCUCUCUUUCUGUUCCGAUUCUGUCCCCAAACUGAGCUGAACAGACCCAAGCCCAGAGAUGGAAGGGGAGCUGAAAAGGCUGGAGAACAGCAGAGACGCUCUCAAGGCUGGCUUCUACGAAUCCUUCGGUGGACUGCAUCCUCCUCAUGACUCUGAUGACAGUAGCAAUGGACCGAGAGAGAACCUACAUUAUGUGUUCAGGACUACAGAAAUCCACCUCCCCUUGGCCUCGUGCAGAGGGGAGGGAGUUUGUCUCAGCCCCGCCCUGCACGAGGCCCAAGAAGCGGGCCGAUUGGCCCUUUGGGUUAGGGGGUGGGGUUUCGGCCGGGAUGAUCCCCGCCGUGUUCUCCUCAGUUUGGGCCAGGCAUUCCCCUCCCUCCCUCCCUGGUACAGAGCGGGUCUAGCGACUGGUCGCCCAACGGGGCCGAGUAGGAAUUUUUGGCUCCCAACGCAUUGGCCACUGAUGGGGUUUUUUUUGCCUACUCCGUUCUGUGUUCCAGGUGUGUAGUUAGAGUUAGGCCGGUCACAAUGGCAGUAACAGUGUGGGCGGGGUGGUAAUUCGAGGGUUUCCCGAGCCAGGGUGUGUCGCCCAGUAAGGUGCUGGGUAGGACGUCAGAGUUCUAACCCGGUCCUCUUGGCCCGCACUGUUCUCUAAGGGUGAUUAAUCACCUGGUGUUCCAGUCCGCCAUGUCUUUUGUUACAGUUAAUAAAGUUGUGGCCCUUUUACCCAUA